rnacentral:pre_miRNA from 1 species
UUGGUUUAAAACAUUGUAGGUCUUCACUUUGAAAAUUGAACCCACAUAAAAUAGUGGGACAUACAUUGAUUUUAUCCAA